CCUGGCGACGAGAGCGCGGUGGUCCCACCUGACCCCAUGCCGAACUCAGAAGUGAAACGCCGUAGCGCCGAUGGUAGUGUGGGGUCUCC
rnacentral:rRNA from 1 species